CAAACAAACAAGCAAGAAACUAUGAAAGUAUCAGAGCUGAAUAAAAGAAGAGACAGCAGUAUUUCUUCUUCAUAUCCUGAGUCCAGAUACUUCGCUCUUUCCCCUAGAAGCUGCAACAUAUGAAAUUGUGAGUGUCAGACCAGUAAUUCAGUGGACUGCUACAGGCCAGAGUCUCAGCGAUUGCCCAAUAUUUAUUACCUUCUGGAAUAUUUUUAAAGGAUACCAAGAUGGGAUUGGCAUAAAAAUAGACGUGGCAGCUCUUUGGCAUAUGGGAAUUCUCCAUAGCAGAAGGACUCGUGAGAAUGAAACAUUUGACCUUCCAAGAACAGCGUUCUGGUCUGUGGUGAAUGAAGAGGUAACAUAGAACAACUAAUAAGGGCAGAGGUCAGAUGCAUUCCAUAAAACACUGGCUUACCAGGUCUGCAUGGUGGCUGCUGGUAACGCACCACAGAAGUGUGAUAGAAGUCACCUUGUGAAGCAAUGCUCUUACGACAAAAAGAGUUUUAUAUUAUUGCCAUGACACAGAAGAGUAAAACUGAGCAAGGACA
rnacentral:lncRNA from 1 species